UCUUCUUCUUCUUCUUCUCCUCUCUGGCUUAGCCUAAGGAUUCUAGUAAGUAUUUCAAACUCCUAAAGUCUUAGUUUUAUCUAGAAAUCAAUGUUGUAUCGCAAUAGAUUGUGCCCUAGAAAGCUUUGUACACUUACCAGAAACCUCAGCUCUAGGAUUCCAUUGCAUGCUUUCAAUGUACAAAACUCUAAUUGCUCGACAAAUUUAGUAAUUGACACUUGUGUUAAGUUCAAUUUCCAGAGCUCUAUUUUAGGUCUCAAUUUGAUUUCCUCAAAUUUUUACCUAUCCAAAAAUCCCAAUUUUUUCGUUCAUUCUAAUUACGUUACCAACCUAGUCUACGGUAAAGAUCCCAUCUUUGUGAGAAAUUACUGUUCUGGGAAGAACACUGAAGGUGGGUCUGCUCAGUGGACUGAGGAUAUAGAGUAUUUGGAUGAAUCGGGUAGUGUGAUUUAUAGUGGCAAAGGUAUAAGGUUAGUUGAGCCAGGGCUUGAUGACCAUCUGAUGAUCGGUGAGCUGAAGAAGCCAUUUUUGAAUGUCGCUGCAGUUGCAAAGAUUGUUGAGUUUGUGAAGAGGUGGAAAUGGGGGCCAGAAUUGGAGACCCAAUUGGACAAGCUACAAUUUGUUCCAAACAUGACUCAUAUAGUUCAAGCUUUGAAAAUUAUCAAUGAUACUGAUGGCUUAUUGAGUUUGUAUAAAUGGGCCAGGAGGCAACCUUGGUAUGUGCCGAAUGAUGAAUGUUAUUUGUUGUUAUUUGAUGGGUUGAAUCAAAGUAGAGAUUUUAAUGGGAUUCAGUCUUUGUUUGAUGAGAUGGUUCAAGAUUCAAUUAAGGGUGGGAUGUCCUCAUUUUGUGCACAUAAUAGGGUGAUUCAAUGUCUAGCUAAAGCAGAGAAGUUGGAGCUAUCGUUUUGUUGUUUCAAGAAGGUUCAGGAAUCCGGCUGUAAAAUUGACACAGAAACGUAUAAUGCACUUAUAACCUUGUUUUUGAAUAAGGGCUUGCCGUACAAAUCAUUUGAGAUAUAUGAGAGCAUGGAAGCUGCACAAUGUUCAUUGGAUGGCUCAACAUAUGAGUUAAUGAUACCAAGCUUAGCGAAAUCAGGUCGUCUUGAUGUGGCAUUUAAGCUUUUCCAAGAGAUGAAAGGAAGGAAUUUUCGGCCAAGCUUUGGUAUUUUUUCCUCGCUUGUUGACUCAAUGGGGAAAGCAGGAAGGUUGGACACAUCUAUGAAGGUUUACAUGGAAAUGCAGGGCUUUGGGCAUAGGCCAUCUGCAAUUAUGUAUGUGUCUUUGAUUGAGUCAUAUACGAAGGCUGGGAAAUUAGAUGCUGCUCUUAGGCUAUGGGAUGAGAUGAAGAAAUCCGGUUUUAGGCCCAACUAUGGUUUGUAUACAAUGAUUAUUGAAUCCCAUGCUAAAUCAGGGAAGCUUGAUAUUGCAAUGUCUAUCUUUAAUGAUAUGGAGAAGGCUGGAUUUCUACCCACCCCAUCUACCUAUUCAUGUCUUCUUGAAAUGCAUGCUGCCUCUGGACAAGUAGAUUCUGCAAUGAAGCUGUAUAACUCGAUGACUAAUGCAGGUCUAAGACCAGGCUUAAGUACGUACACUUCCCUUUUGACUCUCCUAGCUAGUAAGAAGCUUGUGGAUGUGGCUGCCAAAAUUUUACUUGAAAUGAAGACGUUGGGAUAUUCUGUUGAUGUCAGUGCAAGUGAUGUUUUAAUGGUGUACAUUAAGGAUGGUUCUGUUGACCUUGCCCUGAGGUGGCUACGUUUCAUGGGUUCAUCAGGGAUAAGAACGAAUAAUUUUAUAAUCAGGCAGUUGUUUGAGUCUUGCAUGAAGAAUGGUUUAUAUGAAUCAGCAAAGCCUCUUCUUGAGACCUACGUGAACUCUGCUGCUAAAGUGGAUCUUAUACUUUAUACAUCAAUUCUUGCUCAUCUUGUCCGAUGCCAAGAAGAGCAGAAUGAGAGGCAUUUGAUGUCAAUCCUUAGUGCUACAAGACAUAAAGCACACACUUUUAUGUGUGGGCUAUUCACUGGUCCAGAACAGAGAAAACAACCAGUUUUAUCCUUUGUGAGGGAGUUUUUUCAAGGCCUUGAUUAUGAGUUGGAGGAGGGUGCUGCGAGGUACUUUGUAAAUGUUUUGCUCAAUUACCUUGUUCUUAUGGGGCAAAUAAAUCGUGCUCGAUGUGUUUGGAAAGUUGCUUAUGAGAACAAGCUAUUUCCAAAGGCUAUAGUGUUCGACCAGCAUAUUGCUUGGUCUCUAGAUGUUAGGAACUUGUCAGUGGGAGCUGCUCUUAUAGCAGUUGUGCACACUCUCCACAGGUUCAGAAAGCGAAUGUUGUACUAUGGUGUGAUUCCAAGACGCAUCAAAUUGGUUACAGGACCCACUCUGAAGAUUGUGGUUGCUCAGACGUUGAGCUCAGUAGAAUCUCCAUUUGAGGUUAGCAAGGUGGUUCUAAGAGCCCCAGGGGAUUCUGUCAUGGAAUGGUUCAAGAAGCCUAUUGUGCAGCAGUUUCUUCUGAAUGAGAUUCCUUCGAGAGCUGACAUACUCAUGCACAAGCUGAACACUCUAUUUCCUAGUUCUGCACCUGAAAUUAGAUCACUGUCUCCUCCAAAACCACUCAUUUCAGGGAAGGCUAUGUAAUUAUUUGUGAUAGUGGGGAUCAGCUACAGGUGUACUUGUAGUAGAGGAAUGGAUUCCAAUUUAUUGGUAUCCAAAACAGGUUAAUUAUUUAUGAUCCCUGAAUUGUAUGAAUAUUGGCUAGAGAAAGAAAACUAAUUAAUUGAAUAUCUUUAUC
rnacentral:misc_RNA from 1 species